CAGAAACAACCACAAAAUCAACUAAAAACAACCACAAAAUCCACUAAAAAUAAACACACUCCCUCAUCAGUCACCACUCCCACAUCCAUCUUCGAUGUGAUCAAGUAAGAUCAAUUUGUAUGAUUGCGAACCGUCCCUUACCACUCCCACAUCCAUCUUCGAUGUGAUCAAGUAAGAUCAAUUUGUAUGAUUGCAAACCGUUUAACCUCCCUAAUCGCCUCCUCAAACACCGCCUCCAAUCGUUCCAAAAUCUCGCAGCGUGUCUGGAGAGAUGGCGGUGUGUGCAGCGACGAAGAGAUGCCGAGAUAGAGAUGAGGAAGCCAGCGACUGGUGUCGAUGCUGGAGCCAAGAGGUGUGUACAAUGUCGGCGGUGAAAAUGAGACGCUGCCAUAUCACAGAGUUUCAUGAUCGGAGGGACGGGGAAUCAAUCUCAUGGUUAAGCUCAUAAAGAGUGUAUUGUAUUUACGCAAUUUAUAUUACUCGCAAAUAUGUAAUUAUUUUAAUAAAAUAGUAACUUUGCAAAUGUUAAAAAGAGUAUAUUGGAUAAUUUCCCUAUAUUUCUACGUAGUGCAUAUUUAUUUUUCAUAAA
rnacentral:lncRNA from 1 species